UACGUAGGGUCCGAGCGUUGUCCGGAAUUACUGGGCGUAAAGAGCUCGUAGGUGGUUUUGUCGCGUUGUUCGUGAAAAACUCACAGCUCAACUGUGGGCGUGCGGGCGAUACGGGCAGACUAGAGUACUGCAGGGGAGACUGGAAUUCCUGGUGUAGCGGUGGAAUGCGCAGAUAUCAGGAGGAACACCGGUGGCGAAGGCGGGGUCUCUGGGGCCACUACUGACGCUGAGAAGCGAAAAGCAUGGGGGAGCGAACAGGG
rnacentral:rRNA from 1 species